CUGGUGUGUCACUUAGCUUUCUUCUUAUGUCGUCAAUGCAAUUUGCUAUCACGUUCUUAGGCUAGUCCUCGAACUAUAAAGUACCUCUCGAAAGGGGACACCAUUGUUGACUAUGCAUGCUUUUGUGAUUCACAUGGAAAUCGAAAGCAAGAUAGUAGCAGCAAAGCCCCUCUCAACUAAACAGUGCUUGAAACAUGCCAAAACAAGGAGUGCGAGGCAGAAGAUUA